GUGUAUAGCUGAUCCUGCACUGAAUCUUUGGUCUGGGGAAUGUAUAUCAAUUUUAUUGCACAGAAGAGAGGAGAAGAGCAGAGCAAGGCUGGACAAUAAGCAGUACUGAUUACUCGGGAAUUACUCAAAAUUUUGUGGAACCAGGCAUGUAGACAGAAGGCGAUGCUAGGCAGAGUCGUCGCACUCGACUGAACAAUAUUAGAGGAAGAACAACUUGUCCAGAAUUGUCUCUCGAGAAACACACGAUGAAGUUCGUAUUAAAAUAUAGCUUUGGGUUAAAAAAAAAAUUGUCAUUUACUGUCCAACAUAAUGCUUGACAUCUGUUUUUCCUUGCAAAGUCGAAAACCAUGCGACUUUAUAGUAAAAAGAUGUUUACUUAUAAACUUAGAAGAAAACAUUUCUUAA